rnacentral:rRNA from 1 species
UACGUAGGGUGCAAGCGUUUAAUCGGAAUUACUGGGCGUAAAGCGUGCGUAGGUGGUUUGUUAAGUCUGAUGUGAAAGCCCUGGGCUCAACCUGGGAAUUGCAUUGGAUACUGGCAGGCUAGAGUGCGGUAGAGGAUGGCGGAAUUCCCGGUGUAGCAGUGAAAUGCGUAGAGAUCGGGAGGAACAUCUGUGGCGAAGGCGGCCAUCUGGACCAGCACUGACACUGAGGCACGAAAGCGUGGGGAGCAAACAGG